GGAGGAUGAAAACGAUGCCCAGCAGCUGAGGUGUCAAGAAAUUUACCAAGGAUGAAGUGAAAAGGGCAAGGAAGAGUUAAUUCAAGGCUGUUGCAAUGGAAGAAAGAAACUGAACACAACUUCGUUAAAACAAAGGAUUAGAGAACUGUGUACUGUUGGGUAAAGCUAACAGAAAAGCCCUGGAGUGUAUCAGUAGUGUGUGUGCUCAAAGCAGGGGCCUCCCAUGCUCGCUAAUUGCUGCUUAUUACCUUGGAACACCACUUUGCCCUGAGCCUGGGAAGCUGGCUCUGUCUUUCUUGACUGUUCAAUUCGAAAGAGAUGGUUUCCAGACUUUGCUGAAAGACUGUCCUGGUUACAAUAAGAGCAUUGACUGUUCUAGAGAAGAUCAUCUGACACACUUUGCCUGAGUACAUGGGAGCCCUUUCCUUCUUCUUUCCCCAAGGAGGCACACACUGGGAGCCUAUGAAAGGGUUUUCACUGCUAUCUGUACACCCAUAGAGCCAUUCAUUAUGCAACAGCAAUGUUCAUCAAAGAAGUUCUGAGUUUCUCAGCGUCUGAGCAACAGUGUGAGGCAGCAUCCCGCAUCAGCAUCUUCUGGCAACGGCCGCUUGAAGAGUACUCACUAAGAUGCCAACACCAGUGACUGACAGAGCAAAAAUGGAAGAAUAAUGAUUUUUAUAUUUAUAAUCUAUAUAGUUUCUCUUUAAGAUUCCUGAUGGUUAUUCAUGGCUACAAUCAGAAAAACCUAUGAUAAGUGUCUUCCUUAGUCUUACAGAAAUAACUGAUUGCAUGAAAUGAUAAACAUUAUUUUAGCAAAAAAAAAAAAAGAUGGCUUUGUGUCGGAAAAGAGAGCAGCAUUGAAUCAAAUGUGCUAAGAAAAAAAGAAAGAAAGAAGAGAAAGAAAGAAAUAGGAAAUUAUUGCAAGAGGCUCUUAACUCUUGAUUUAACUCUUCUUAUUUCCAUUUGGUACAAGCAAGUACUAAGCAACUGCCUGAAGGAGGCAGAAAUGAUAAAUAUUGACUGGUGUAAGGUCAGAGCAGUUUGGAUUUGCGUUGGGUGUCAUCUCUUGGAGGGCUGCUCAGAAAAUGAAGAGGGAAUGGAUUUGUUAAAUCUGGGGAGAGGGGAGAGGAGAGUUAGAAGGAGUAGAGGGAGGGAAACCUGGGGGGGGGGGUGCUCCCCUCUGGAUCCCCAGUCAGGCACAGACCCCACCCAGCCAAUUUCCAAGCACAAAUCAAACACAAAGAGAACUUUUAUUAAGUGAGGCAAAGAAAGAAGGUGGCAGAAUCUGGAUCAGGCAGAAAUGGGAGCAAAUGGUUCUGCAUGUGUUAAUUUUUAAGAGGGAGAAGGGAAGAGACCUGUGUUAAAACGUUAGGGUGUGCUGGUAAGUUCUGAUUGGGUGUCUUAAUUAGGUUAGUCAAAAUAACGAAUUCUGAUUCCUGGACCUUGGUGUUGUGGUACUUGGACCUUGGUGAUCAGUCUCAGCAAUGAGUUUGAGGUCAAAUAAGAGACUGACCUUGGAGACUUAGCUUUAGGGGUGUAAUUGAACACUUUAGCAAGGGGGAGAAAAGCAAAAGGCAAAACCUACCUGUGCCACGUUCGCCAUGUCUGAGCCUGUGUUUGCCAUGGUCCAGCCUGCUACAGCCCUUUAAGAAGAAUCUAUUUUUCAAUUUAAAAAUAUGCUGGUUUUACUAUGCAGGUUGGCUGUUCUCCUGUGUGGAUUUCAAGAAACCCACAUUACUGUUUUGAUCCACAUUAUCUUAAUUGAAGGGAAGUUGUGCCCGCAUUGGACAGUUGCAGACUGGGCAAAAAGUGGGAUCACCUACCAGCCAGACAGGAGCUAGAGAAUAACAUCGACCAUAAUGGCUAUACUGCUAAAACAAAAAUUUACUGAAAAUUCUGUGAAUAUCUUAAAUAUUUUAGAGCCUAUGUAAGUUUCUUUGGAUUAAAAUAAAGAAUGUCAUAUUUACUUCCAUAAUUCAUUUUGGAAUACCAUUUUGGGAAUAAAGAUCUGCAUUCUUUUAAGACAUUAUAAAAAAUAAAGAAAAAAACAUAUUGUCAAAAACAAUUAUAAAAGAAAGAAAAUACACGGCUGCCUCUACCUGCAUCUUUUUGGGAUGUUUACUGUUAGGACGCUUCAUUUAAGAGUCCAGAUCCCUGCUGUGAGAAAAUGAACUGUAAACUGCAUAGAAAUGUCAGUGCAGGUGUGCUGCUAAAUAUUCCCAGCUGACUUCCCCGGGAGCCGAGAGAGAAAGCGUCAUCUGGAGAAACCAAAGUUAACCUGUAAGCCCCAUUUGCUCAAGGAUAGAUAACUUCCUGGGAUUUGGGUGGCUGUGGUUCUUGGGAGAUAACACGCCACAUGUUUUUGAUCCCUAAACAAAUUUGUCUGCACCAGAUGUACUUGACUGGAUGUGGGCAGAGGCAAGCAGGCAGGAACUACUUCAGGAUGUAAUGCUUGCCCCUGAUUGGACUUCAUGGGGGGCAGAGGGCGGGGCGGGGGAGUGGGCAGGUCAGAUGAGUUUGCCUUUUUAAGCACCUGCAAAAACUUAAUCUGUGACCUUUUCAGGGAUUGGCCUGGCCAGAGUCCAUCAUCGUGGUCAGUAUUUAAUUUAAGCUUGCUUCAAAUUUGACUCUAAAUUAUGGAACUGGUUUUUCUCUCACAAGUUUCAGGAAUAACCCAUCCACUAGUCGCACGAAUGAACUAUCAGUAAAAAAUCAGUGGCUUCGGCUCCAAUAUGAACUGACUACCACCAAAUAAAAGACACAAAGCAGAAGCCACUGUACAUAUAGAAUCAAUGCUGGAAUAUAAACAGAAAAUUGUUAUUUUGACCCAGUAGACAACAUACUAUGUUCUUUUCAGGGAUAUAAAAUAAACAUAUUGGUCUUUGAGAACUAAAAAUAUAUAUAUUAUUGUAUUGAAAACUUAAUUCAGGUAAACAAAAGAAUUUAUUAAACUGAUGCCAUGUUAACCUGUAGACAUUUUUAAACCCCACAAAAAUUAAAAAAUUA
rnacentral:lncRNA from 1 species